UGACCGCAUAGCUCAGCUGGAAGAGCAUUGGGCUAGUAUUCCAAAGGUCGUAGGUUCUAAUCCCCCGUGGCCGGGCAUAUUUUUCAAGCUCGCCCGGUGUGGAUAUGCACUCAGAGUAACAUCGCAAACAUAUUAUUCACCUGAGUACACAACACCAACACAGAAAAUUCAUAUUACUAGAACACAUUGGUAUUGAAGGAACUAGAUACUGUUCCGAAAUAUCACUUACUCGAACCGUCCUGACCGCGUAGCUCAGUUGGAAGAGCAUUGGGCU
rnacentral:lncRNA from 1 species